UGUGUCUUCUCCUUAUAAACACUCGAGGUGGCGGUGUAGGGUCUCCAGCCCCUUCGGGUGUCCCCCGGCCUUCGUCACCGCCCGUGGCGUGUUCUCCGAGGACAGGAUCCGCUGGGCCGAUGCAGACCUAGCGUCCUUGACCUGGUGAUGGACACUGUGACUCUAUGUUCCUUUGGGAGGAUGCCAUGGAAACAGAAAGGAUGCUGGCUCGGCUCUCCUCUCCCCCAGCAGCCUUGCUCGCAGCCCCGACCCACGCACUCCUUGGGCGUUUGCAUGGAUGGUGUGCCUGAGCCGUCCCAGCUUCAAAACUAUCUGAGUGUGAGCGGAGAGGUGGGAGAACCUGGUCCAUCAAUGAGUACAGUCCAACUACGCCGUGGACAAUGUAAGAGCUAAGAAAUUAACAUGUUGCCCUUAGCUUCGGUAACCCUGCUUGCCAGCACUCCAGCUGACAGUAGUACUGCCAUAUUAAAACAGGUAGCCAUUUUAGUCAGUAUCCCCCUCCCUUGCAGAUACUGGGAACUGAGGCGAGGGGACACUUUACCACCGAAAGCCCCGGCCCAACUUGGUGGUUAGAUCUGUCAAACACCUGGCCAUGAACAGAAAAUCCCUAACCAUGGGACCCCAAAUACCCAAUCAAUGCAAAGGUCGUGUGUUACACAGAAUUGUGGUUUUUGCCUUUAUAACCCCUGCCCCUGCCCCGAGUCGAGGCUCACUCUCUCACACCCACUGCGUGGGUCUGUGUGGAGACUGGGUCCAGGCCUUGGCUUGCACUACAAUAAAGGAAACUUGCUGCUAA